UACAGAGGGUGCGAGCGUUGUUCGGAAUUAUUGGGCGUAAAGGGCGCGUAGGCGGUGCCACAAGUCACCUGUGAAAUCCCCGGGCUUAACUCGGGGCCUGCAGGCGAAACUGUGGUGCUGGAGUAUGGGAGAGGUGCGUGGAAUUCCCGGUGUAGCGGUGAAAUGCGUAGAUAUCAGGAGGAACACCAGUGGCGAAGGCGGUUGCCUGGAGCUUUGCUGACGCUGAGGCGCGAAAGCGUGGGGAGCGAUCCGG
rnacentral:rRNA from 1 species